CUUUGCAAUCGCGGGAGCUCGGAGCACCGGGCUGAGAGGGCGCUGACCUUCGUCCCAGCAUGUUUCACGUGAAACAUCGCCGGACGGAAGCCGCUGCGUCGACCGCCGAACCUGUUACCGGGUAAUGCCGGCGUAGGGAGUUGGGUCUUUAUGGCU
rnacentral:ncRNA from 1 species